CCUGCAGUGUUUAGUGCUUGGUGAGG
rnacentral:piRNA from 1 species